ACAAUACUAUCCCAUUUUGGAGACGUUACAUGGACAAUACUAUCCCAUUUUGGAAACGUUACAAGGACAAUACUAUCCCAUUUUGGAAACGUUACAUGGACAAUACUAUCCCAUUUGGAAACGUUACAUGUACAAUACUAUCCCAUUUUGGAAACGUUACAUGUCCGCCCCCUUGUGGAGGGAAAUUAAUAUCUUAGAUGGUAGCUGUAGAUGGGAUUCAAAUGCAUAAUGGUAAUAAUACAGUGUCUAGACUACCUCUUUAGUAUAAAGGCCCUUCAGAAUCCAAACACAGUAUUGCCACGCAGCAAAAUGUUGCGUAUAAUCUUUCACGUCAGCCUGAUAAAAUAUUGAACAAUUUGUGAACAGAGAUAUCUUGAAAUGUGAUAUUAGGCCUGUAUGGCAGUACUGUUACUGUAUGGCAGUACUGUAUUGGCUAGUGCUUUCUCCAAUAUGUUCUUCUAUUUUACUUUCAAUUGUAUGUCGAUGCCAUUUAUCUUUCAAUAUAUAUAUAUUUUAAUGCUUGUAAGACUAUUCUUUGACACAUUUUCUCUUCCUUUGAAAUUCUUAUAGGACAGAACAUGGACACAAUGCAAUUGGGAUCAAGAAGAAGGACUGGAGACCACAGCAGCGAUUCUGCUCUUGCCCUACCUCUUCAAUGAGGACCCGAGUGGCCUUUAUGUCCGUGACAAGAUUUCACCGCUCUUCACUCCUUUACUGCACAUUGGUGGAAAUCCAUUUCACCAUGAGAGUGAAAUCCCGCUGGCCUUUGAUGGGGAGAACAUCCACGCCCUCGAGGACGUCCCCAUGGGACUUGGGGCUCUGCUAGGGCUGUAUUUUUAUUUUCCCUUAAAUUUCCCAAAAAUGUCAGAAAAACACUUAUGUUGUUAAGUUACUGUGUUCUGGGGAUAAGAGAAGUUGGGGUGAAGUUACCAGGGCCGGUCAUAAAGAUGGCAAACUUCCUAACAUAACUAAGUGGAUAUGAUAUACACACUAAACCUGAAAAAUUUGUAUUCAGCAUCAAGUCUACAAUUUUGUUAGUUUACCUAUGAUUCAUUUUUAAUGUAUGUUGUUUUUAUUGUACAUCAUUAUUUAUAUAUAUUUAAAUGUCAUGAAAAGCACUAUACAAAGUAAAUGUAUUAUUUAUUAUGGUCUGACAUGU